ACUCUGCAGCGUGACCUGCAGGAGGCGGAGCUUCAGUGGGCUCAGGUUUGGCGCGUCCACCUGCAGCAGCUGGAGCGUCUGAGGUCUCUGCAGCACAAACGGGUGGAGCUGGUGAAGCAGCAGUGGGGGAACCUCCUCCAGGAGCUACACUCCAGGUUCAUCUCAGAGAGGUGCGUCCAAGGAGACCACUGCUCCUUCCUCCCCCUCCUCCCCCUCACAUCUGUGACCCCUCCUCCCCCUCACAUCUGUGACCCCUCCUCCUUCAGGAGGCAGAUGAACUCCGCCUCGGCGAGGCGGCGGGCCGACCUGGAGGACGCCAGCCUCCCGCUGGAGCAGCAGCACCAGGAGCUGAUGGAGCAGAUCCAGAAGCUGUACAACAGGAGCAAGACGGUGUACUGGACGUCCCACAAGCUGCAGGUACCUGAUCCUGGGACAGCUUUUCUUAUUACGUACUGAAAACCCUCGUUCAGAGCACAGCGGACGAGGUCAUGGGUCAAUAGAUCAGGUUCUGUUCAGUAGAUGAUCAGUGAUGAGGAACGUCUGAUUAGUGAGGAGAGAAAAAGUCAUAGAUGUCCUCAGGUGUGUUCUCUGUGGACAGAUUGCUCUGCUGCUUCAAGAGGACAUCCAGGACCCACCGCUGCUGGAGCUGCAGAAGGAACGUCAGCAGCUGAUCAGGAUGAAGGGCGAAGCCGAGAAGGAGGCAAAGAAGCUUCAGGUCUGAUUCUGAACCAAUAACAGGAGGAGAUUUUCGUCCCUUAAGAGACAGGAAGUCAAACUAAACCAGGUCAAGUUGGUAUGAGCGUAUGAUGUGUUGCCCCCCAUGCGUCUGUCCCUCCUGUCCUCCAGGACACCGCCACCCUCCUGCACCACCAGCUGAUCGCCAGCGAGACAGGAAACCAGGCGCUGGAGCAGGACCUGAGGGACGCCACCCAGAAGGUGGCCGCGAGGACCCUGGUGCUCCAGGACCAGCUGACUCGGGGCCGCGGGGCGGCGAGGAGGCGUCUGACUCUGCUCACCGUCCGGAGCGCCGCCGCCGCCAAGAAGCUGAAGGCCGUCGUCGCCAAGGGCGAGAAGGUCCUCCGGGUGGCCGAGGUGGGCCGCAGGCUGGAGGGGGACCAGGGGGACUUACUGACGUGCCCUCUGGCGGAGCAGAGACAGGAGACAGGAGCGGAGACAGAGGGACCAGAAGAGGAGACGGCGGUGACGCUGAGGACCACCGUGUCUGUCCUGAAGCUGGGGGCCCUGAGGACACAGCGGGACGCUCUGACCCGGGACAACCUGCAGCUGAAGCUGCUGCUGCAGGAGUGCCUGGACGCCAUGACGGUGAGCGACCGGGACCCCGGAGGCCACGCCCUGCUUGCUGUGGGCGGGGCCCCGACCACCGCCGUCCCCCCGGAGGCCGGCAGGCGCCUCGCCGACCGCCGCCACACAGUCAUCGAGGGCGCGCACGUCGCCAGGCGUUAUUAACACUUUGGCUCCGUUUGAUGAGCGGUUAA
ensembl:lncRNA